rnacentral:rRNA from 1 species
UACGUAGGGGGCAAGCGUUGUCCGGAGUUACUGGGCGUAAAGCGCACGCAGGCGGUUGCACGCGUUUCCGGUGCCAGCCCGUUGCUUUACGACGGGAGUGCCGGGAAGACGGUGCGACUCGAGGGCCUCAGAGGGACAUAGAAUUCCGGGUGGAGUGGUGAAAUGCGUAGAUAUCCGGAGGAAUACCAAAGGCGAAGGCAGUGUCCUGGGAGGUGUCUGACGCUAAGGUGCGAAAGCCAGGGGAGCGAACGGG